CACGUGGCUGGUGUAUACUAUGUGCCUGACUCCUACACCAUUCAACUCACAGGAGAUGGAAACUGCUUUUUCACCAAAUCCUCUCACUGAAGAAAAAUGGAAAAACAGGCAGGCAGCAGCAGCCUUUCCAGCAGUUUUCCAUAGGUUAUCGAAGCAAAUCUCACCACACAUCAAGAUCUUGCAGAGUGAAUGAAGAGGAAAAGUGCGGUUUCCCCUAGUAUUCCCUGCUGAUGUGAUGUACUGUGAGGGUACGUAGGAAGCCCCAAACCUGUUAAUAUGUAUUCUGCAUGUCUCUUCGGUGCUGUGGCCUAAUAGACUACCAUCAGUGGAUUCAGUGGGAGUUACAGCAGUUUUACUAGGAGGGUGUUCAGCAUCAAGUGCUGUACAGAGUGACAACAUGGGGUUAAGUCAUCUUCCACCAGGGUGUACGAAGUAGCAUGUGGUUUGUUGGAAAUAUAGCCUAAACGCAAAUGCUAAAUUGGCACAAAUGUCAGGAGUACGCUGAUGAUAUGUGUUGAUGGCACAGAGCUGGGAGGUGUUCCCAAAACGGAGACAAACUGGUGUGUCGUACAGAAGGAACUGCAUGACACUUUGGACUGGAAAUAAUAACAGAAAUAAGAUGAAAUUCAUUGAAACUACAAAAUAAAAACCGGUAUGUCCAAAUCACCUUCUGUACAGUAGGAGCUCAUCUCAGGGAAAUGACUCAGAGGUCAGGAGAUGAUCUCAAGGCAGCUGUGUGCCUCCAGCCUGAGGCAGUUGAGAGAAGGAGUCAUAUAUCUAGCAGACCUAUGGCUGUAUAGUUAAGUAUCAUGAUCUAGUGUACUGAUCCAAUGGUUCAGUACUGUCUUCAAAGUAGAGACAUUUGGACUUUGAGUAAGGCUUUCUUUGUGUAUGAGCUCAUCUGAAAAACUGCAUGGACUCUGUGACCAUGUAGGAAUGACAUCGUUUGGUGGUAUCUUUGCAGAGCACCCAAAGAAGGGACUUCAGCAUGUUCAGACCUCCUCACUGCCCUCCAGAGGUACUCUCAGGGAAGUCAGAGGUUUGGACUUGCUUUACAGUUGAACAUAUAUGCUUCUAUGUGACAGCCUUUGGGAGAGCCUGAUUCCUAGAAAACAUAAACUAGGCCUCUAGUCAGUGAUAGUGACUCAUCAACAGCAGGCUCUGCCUUCAAGGAUGUCUCAGACUCCCUGGUGUCUGGCAGGCCAGCACACAAAUGCCGCAAACACCUUUAGUUGGACCUUUUUGUAAACAUUAUGGUUGGGUUUAUUCCCUUCUACUGAAAAACUGGUCCAGAACCCAAUCCCUCCACUGGUUAAAAAUCUUCCAAUUUCCAGCUAAAUGUGUUUAAGACCAGUGUGCACAAGGAAUCAAGUAAUACAAGAGAAGAGGCAUUUUGCAAGGUGUAUGUCCAGGCUCUUCGUUACAAUGUUGAAAGCAAAUGCUGGCAAAGAAGAAAAUGCAAAUGGCAGAUCUGCUCAGGGAUGACUACCAACCUCCAGCCCCCAGACACCCAGCAGCCUUUCCAACUGCCAGCUCUGGGAAUCUCGAGCUCCCAGCGAUACUCUGCCUUCCAAACAGCUCCCCACUUUCCAUUUCUACUCCUGUGCCAGGUGUAGUACCAGCUUCAGGAGCUGAUGACCUGAUUUUCAUCCCAUCACUCUCCCUGGACGUCCCUUGAGCAUCAGCAUUUUUUAAGUGAUACCUAAGAUGAUACAGCUUGAAGGUGAGGAGCACCAGAUCCAAGAGGUUCAGCAUACAGGAGGGAAGGAGCAUGAGAAGUCAGGGCAGAAUGCAAAGGCUGUUUUCUGUCUUCCUGAAAGAGAACGAGGAAAUAGGUCUGGAAAACGGAACUGGAGAGAGAAGAGGAGGGGAGUGAGAACUGAAUGAUUUAUUUGCACAUACACAUGAGAGAACGAGAGGCAAAGUUUCAAACUGAUAAUUGGUUUGGGAUUUUUAUUGAUUAUAAAUUACAAUUCCAAGCUGUAGUUAAAAACCUGAGCCUGAACCAUACCUGCUAUACAGAGUUGCUAACACAUCUCUAUAAAAUGUUGUGCAAGACAGCAGCUAGACAUAAAUUCUGCAAUGCUUG
ensembl:lncRNA